CGCAAUCUCCGCUCACUGCAAGCUCUGCCUUCUGGGUUCACGCCAUUUUCUUGCCUCAGCCUCUCCGAGUACCUGGGACUACAGGCGCCCGCCACCACGCCCGGCUAAUUUUUUGUGUUUUUAGUAGAGACGGGCUUUCACCGUGGACUCUAUCUCCUGACCUCGUGAUCCGCCCGCAUAGGCCUCCCAAAGUGCUGGGAUUACAAGCGUGAGCAACCGCGCCCGGCCCCCUUCAGGUAGAAGAAUGCUUCAAGCUUCAGACAAAUUUAAGCAUUCUCACUUGGAAGCACCUUAAAUCCUUGGUGUUCAGAUUUGACAACCGUAAAAAUGUUCGCUAAAGAGGUUUGCGGGGGAUUCCUUGAGCAGCACAAGAUUAUUUUUUUCCCAACAACUAAAAAUAUUUAGUAGACAAUGUCUUGCUCUGUUGUCCAGGUUGGAGUACAGUGGUGCUAACAUGGCUCACUGCAGCCUCAACCUUCCAGGUUCAAGCAAUCUCCCACCUCAGCCUCCCGAGUAGCUGGGACUACAGGCAUGCACUACCACACCCAGGACCAUUGAACUUACUCCAGUCUCCGAAUUUUUCUGAGAUUUCUAAAAGUUGCAAAGGAUGUACAGCAGGACCAAUGCAGUCUGUUGAGUGACCCUGAUAUAUCAAGGUUCUUUACUAGACACUUUGGGUAAAACAAUAAUGCUUCUUCAGCCCUUACAGUGUGUCAGGGACUCUGAUAAAUACUUCGUGUGCAUUUUUUCAAUGACUUCACAAAAUCCUCAAGUGGCAUAUGCAUUAUGAUCUCCACUGUACAACUAGAAAAUCAAGGUGCAGAAACGUAAUUUGCUUGAGGUCACACAGCAAUUUGGGAGUUAAUUGGGAUUAAUACUUUUUUUUUCUUUGAGACAAGGUCUCACUCUGUUGCCCAGGCUGGAGUGUGAUGGCGCAAUCUCAGCUCACUGCAACCUCCACCUCCCAGGCUCAAGCCGUCCUC
rnacentral:lncRNA from 10 species